GACGAACGCUGGCGGCGUGCUUAACACAUGCAAGUCGAACGGAAAGGCCCUGCUUUUGUGGGGUGCUCGAGUGGCGAACGGGGGAGUAACACGUGAGUAACCUGCCCUUGACUUUGGGAUAACUUCAGGAAACUGGGGCUAAUACCGGAUAGGAGCUCCUGCUGCAUGGUGGGGGUUGGAAAGUUUCGGCGGUUGGGGAUGGACUCGCGGCUUAUCAGCUUGUUGGUGGGGUAGUGGCUUACCAAGGCUUUGACGGGUAGCCGGCCUGAGAGGGUGACCGGCCACAUUGGGACUGCGAUACGGCCCAGACUCCUACGGGAGGCAGCAGUGGGGAAUAUUGCACAAUGGGCGGAAGCCUGAUGCAGCAACGCCGCGUGCGGGAUGACGGCCUUCGGGUUGUAAACCGCUUUCGCCUGUGACGAAGCGUGAGUGACGGUAAUGGGUAAAGAAGCACCGGCUAACUACGUG
rnacentral:rRNA from 1 species